rnacentral:rRNA from 1 species
GACGAACGCUGGCGGCGUGCCUAAUACAUGCAAGUAGGACGCAGUUGUGAACGGGUGAGUAACGCGUAGGUAACUACCUAAUAGAGGGGGAUAACUAUUGGAAACGAUAGCUAAUACCGCAUACUAGUAGAUGGACCUGCGGUGUAUGAGCUAGUCGGUAGGGUAAUGGCAUACCUAGGCAACGAUACAUAGCCGACCGGGUGGUGAUCGGCCCAACUGGGAAGGGGCCACGGCCCAGACUCCUACCGGAGGCAGCAGUAGGGAAACAUCGGCAAUGGGGGGAACGCUGACCGAGCAACGCCGCGUGGUUGAAGAAGGUUUUCGGGUCGGAAAGCUCUGUUGUUAAGGAAGCGUUACUUAACCAGAAAGGGACGGCUAACUACGUGCCAGCAGCCGCGGUAAUAC